CAGUAGCCACGGUAAUACAGAGGAUGCAAGCGUUAUCCAGAAUGAUUGGGCGUAAAGUGUCUAUAGGUGGCUUUUCAAGUCCGCCGUCAAAUCCCAGGGCUCAACCGUGGACAGGCGGUGGAAACUACCAAGCUGGAGUACGGCAGGGGCAGAGGGAAUUUCCGGUGGAACGGUGAAAUGCGUUGAGAUCGGAAAGAACACCAACGGCGAAAGCACUCUGUUGGGCCGGCACUGACACCGAGAGACGAAAGUUAGGGGAGCAAAUGGGAUUAGAUACCCCUGUAGUCCCUGUCUCUUAUAA
rnacentral:rRNA from 1 species